CUUUGUUGAGACCCAAAAAAACCAUCAUGGCCAGGUGCAAUUGUAUUGAGUUGUCCCAGUCCUUGCAUAUUCUGUUGGUUAACAUAAUAGCCAUCAUGGGGAGGUUCCAUCAAAUUUAACAGUCCCUGCACAUUCUGAUGUGUACCAUAAUAGCCAUUCAACGUCAUUCCACCCACAGUAAGACUAUCCAUUUGUUGUAAGCUGUCUUUUGCUUCAACAAUUGCAGCUUCUGGUUCAGAGUGCAUCUUCCGCUUCUUGUUUGUAUUUUUCUUCCUACUUGUUUUAAUUGCAUGAAUCCCUUGAGUAUCUUCUUCAAGAUCACGAAGUCCAACUGCACUGCUGCUACAUUCUGUUAAUGCAGAACUUCUAUUGUUAACAUUCACACAGUUCUUUAGAGCUUCAUCUAGGGCACGGAAGGCAACGCCGUAACUCUCCUCAGAUAAAGAACCCUCCACACCCAGUUCAAUUGCCCUUCUACAUAGAUCAUUGUAUCUUUGUACUCUGUUUCGAAUUCUUUCAGUCCCCUCAGAUAUUAACUGUAU
rnacentral:misc_RNA from 1 species